ensembl:lncRNA LINC00159 long intergenic non-protein coding RNA 159
UCUGUCUCAAAAAAAAAAAAAAAAGAAAAGAAAAGAAAAGAAAAAAAAAGUCACAGCCACCAAUAGCAUAAUGGGGAGGAAGGGACUUAGAAAAGCAAGCAUAUCUGGUGAAGAUUGUUAAUAGCUGAAAUAACAGUGAUGAUAAUGAUUAUGAUGAUGACUAACAUUUACUAUGUAUUUGCUGUGUGGCAGGCUUGAUAUUCCUGCUCAACCUCAUUUUACAGAGGUAUCUCUGGUCAUGCGGAGAAGACAGGUAAAGAAUAAAGUUACCAAGAAGAGGUUAGUUCGAGUCGAACUUUCAUGCUUGUCAGAGACCGAGAAUAACAACCCUAGUAGACAGGAAGCAUCAUUGUCUCCAAUUUGCAGAAGAGAAAACUCAGACAUAGAAUUUAAUUCACUUGCUCAGGAUCACACACUAAGUGGUAAAGCUGAGAUUCGAACCUAAGUAUUUUGGCUCCAGAGCUCAUUGUAUCAUGGAGAACUGCUACAGACAUGCAUGGGCAGUUGGCAUUGAGGAUAUGAUAUAAACAUUCUAUCUUCCCUGUGAGAUCUUCAGUAAAAUCAAUAUUUAUCAUCAGUUCUUCUAAUGCAAUGGCCUCUUUCUGGUGCCUGGGAAGAGAGACUGCAUCCUGCCUUAAGGUGGACCAGGGAUAAAAAUAGGCUGAUAUGGUUUGGCUGUGUCUUCAACCAAAUCUCAUCUUGAAUUGUAGCUCCCAUAAUUCUCACAUGUGGGAGCAACUAGGUGGAGAUAAUUGAAUCAUGGGAGUGGUUUCCCUCAUCCUGUUCUCAUGGUAGUGAAUAAAUCACACAAGAUCUGAUGGUUUUAUAAGGAGUUUCCACUUUUGCUUGGCUCUCGUUCUCUGUAGUCUGCUGCCAUGGAAGACGUGCCUUUCUCCUUCUGCCAUGAUUGUGAGGCCUCCCCAGCCACGUGGAACUACUGAUAUCAUAUGGAAAUGCCAGCUCAGAAGAUGUGGUGAGCUUUGAUAAUUCAGGAAUUGACUGACAGAAGGAGGACCUCAUUUGGGCAGAAUGGCUCCCAAAACCCAGUUGUGUCUCUGGGUGUGUAAGCCCAGCAGCAGGCAGUGUGUCAUCGCUGUGUCAGUUCUAUGGUGUGAUGUGCGGAACUGGUACUGGAAUGUAGACAUCAAGGCUGGUUCUUCGGCUCUCCCAAAGGCCAAAGAUAUCUAUUUAAAUAUCAUUUAAAUAAACCCCUUUAUUGCUUAAA